CCGCUGGUCGUCUAGUUGGUUUAUGGCGCCAGACUGUAAUUUUCUCCAUUGUAUAUCUGGAAGUCGGCGGUUCGACUCCGCCCCAGCGGA